rnacentral:rRNA from 1 species
AGUGAACGCUGGCGGUAGGCCUAACACAUGCAAGUCGCACGGCAGCACAGUAAGAGCUUGCUCUUACGGGUGGCGAGUAGCGGACGGGUGAGGAAUACAUCGGAAUCUACUUUUUCGUGGGGGAUAACGUAGGGAAACUUACGCUAAUACCGCAUACGACCUACGGGUGCAAGCAGGGGAUCUUCGGACCUUGCGCGAUUGAAUGCGCCGAUGUCGGAUUAGCUAGUUGGCGGGGUAAAGGCCCACCAAGGCGACGAUCCGUAGCUGGUCUGAGAGGAUGAUCAGCCACACUGGAACUGAGACACGGUCCAGACUCCUACGGGAGGCAGCAGUGGGGAAUAUUGGACAAUGGGCGCAAGCCUGAUCCAGCCACACCGCGUGGGUGAAGAAGGCCUUCGGGUUGUAAAGCCCUUUUGUUGGGAAAGAAAAGCAGCAGGUUAAUACCCCGCUGUUCUGACGGUACCCAAAGAAUAAGCACCGGCUAACUUCGUG